CUGUUUUCAGGCUUGUGAGCUGAAGGGUAAAGUUUUAUUAACAUCUCAGAGGAAAGGACUCAGCCUUGGGGUUCCAUGCAUAUUUACAUUUAAUGCUAAACAUGCAGGGAUAUUCCUCUUGACAUUUCACUUGGUUUCUCACUGAGAACAGGAAUCUUUCCAUCCUCUUGUUUUAGCAUUGUGCAAUAACCAGAUGGAAAACAGCCCUUGGCUAUGAGAGAGAGUUCUGAAGAUCUGACAUGGAAGUUUUGCUCUCUAAGAAACUCUGCUGCUGGUUGCUAGCAGCUGGCUUUGGGUUCAAUUUCUCCAUGAUGAUAAGGCAGUAAAUGUAAGGAACUUUCCUGCUGGAGACAAAAUAUGGCUUUAAAGCACAUGCUUUGCUUUUAGAACUGGACAUCUGCAACUGGUUCCCAUUUGUGCUGUAGAUCCCACAUGUGACUUCUCCGAAGCCUUUGCUUUUCAUCGUGACAUCUCCUGCUGAACCUCUGAGCACUUGGCCAGGGACUGCAGUGCCUUGUGUCAGAGUAUGAUGAUUUAAAAGGCAGCCCUUGGAUGCUGUGAUAAGGCUGUAGAGACAAAAAGCUCUAAAUGUGGACUAGAGUGUAAAUAGAUCCAUCAGUAUCUGCCUCCAGACUGGACAGUUGAUGUGCCUCACAGUUCCUGACUAAGCAGAGCAAAUGCAGAGGCUGGGACAAGUGACUGAUCCCAGUGCCCAUCUGUUUAUCCAAGCCUCUACUGAUCAAAGCAUGGAAGGAAGGCAAGCUUUGGAGCCCUCGAUGAAGACACAACACCUUCCAGCCAGUCAGCAAAAUGUCCCCAGAUGACUUUGAGUAAAGAGAAACUGCUAACCAUCA